rnacentral:lncRNA from 13 species
CUGAAUCUCUCCUCCUCCUCUUCCCUCUCUCCUCCGUCUGCCCUGCUGUGCUGCUCUCACCACCCUGCAGCACACUCAUUCAGCUCAGGUCCAUAGAAGCAUCAGGUUGAACCUGGGCAGCACGGUGCAGGCCCUGGUCUUUGGGAAGAGGAAGACAGGCAGCCUCUUACUGGAAGCAGGAGCUGUUGCUAAGUGUGUCAGUGAUCUGCCUGGGGUCUCUGCUGCAGUUUCUGCAAAGGAGAAGUCCAUCUACAGGUACCAGACUCAGACAAAUCAAAUCAACAGGUGUACACUAACAGUGAAAUGUUUCCUUACGGGUCCUUUUCCAACAACGCAGAGUUAAAGAUAACAAUAGAAAUAGUGACACACGGAAUAAAUACACAGUGAAUAAUGAAUAACAGUAACAAGUAAAAAUAACAACACAGGUAUCUUUUGGUUGUCACUAUAGCAACAGCCUCCAGGAACAACAAAAUACACAAUAUUCACAUCUUCCAGUUAAAUGAGGAAAGGGAAUUAAAAGGAAAAAAAUGUACAUAUAUAUCACAUUCCCAGUGGGUCAGAAGUCUACAUACACUCAAUUAGUAUUUGGUAGCAAUUAGUAUUUAGUAUUUGUGUCAAAUGUUUCGGGUAGCCUUCCACAAGCUUCCCACAAUAAAUUUUGGCCCAUCCCUCCUGACAGAGCUGGUGUAACUGAGUCAGGUUUGUAGGCCUCCCUAUAUGCUUUUUCAGUUCUGCCCACAAAUUUUAUAUAGGAUUGAGGUCAGGGCUUUGUGAUGGCCACUCCAAUACCUUGACUUUGUUGUCCUUAAACCAUUUUGCCACAACUUUGGAAGUAUGCUUGGGGUCAUUGUACAUUUGGAAGACCCAUUUGCGACCAAGCUUUAACUUCCUGACUGAUAUCUUGAGAUGUUGCUUCUAUAUAUCCACAUAAUUUUCCUUUCUCAUGAUGCCACCUAUUUUGUGAAGUGCACCAGACCCUCCUGCAGCAAAGCACCCCCACAACAU